AUGGUCGGCUCCUCUCAAAUGAAUUAGCUUGCCAGUUUUCGGUGGCGUCACGGGUGUGAUAACUAUCUACGCUUGUGGUUGUCCACUGGGUAACCUUCCGGCGACGGGGGUUUGCUGGAGCUUAUAAAUGUCUCUCCUUGGCGAAGACAGCUUUUUGAACAUUUGAUCUCAAAUCAGGUAGGACUACCCGCUGAACUUAA
rnacentral:misc_RNA from 1 species